rnacentral:rRNA from 1 species
GAUGAACGCUGGCGGCGUGCCUAAUACAUGCAAGUCGAGCGAACGGACGAGAAGCUUGCUUCUCUGAUGUUAGCGGCGGACGGGUGAGUAACACGUGGAUAACCUACCUAUAAGACUGGGAUAACUUCGGGAAACCGGAGCUAAUACCGGAUAAUAUUUUGAACCGCAUGGUUCAAAAGUGAAAGACGGUCUUGCUGUCACUUAUAGAUGGAUCCGCGCUGCAUUAGCUAGUUGGUAAGGUAACAGCUUACCAAGGCAACGAUGCAUAGCCGACCUGAGAGGGUGAUCGGCCACACUGGAACUGAGACACGGUCCAGACUCCUACGGGAGGCAGCAGUAGGGAAUCUUCCGCAAUGGGCGAAAGCCUGACGGAGCAACGCCGCGUGAGUGAUGAAGGUCUUCGGAUCGUAAAACUCUGUUAUUAGGGAAGAACGUAUGUGUAAGUAACUGUGCACAUCUUGACGGUACCUAAUCAGAAAGCCACGGCUAACUACGUG